UACCAGCACCCCGAGUGGUCGGGACGAUUAUUGGGCCUAAAGCAUCCGUAGCCGGUUUUACAAGUCCUCCGUUAAAUCCAGCUGCUUGACAGAUGGGCUGCGGAGGAUACUAUAAGACUAGGAGGCAGGAGAGGCAAGCGGUACUCAGUGGGUAGGGGUAAAAUCCGUUGAUCCAUUGAAGACCACCAGUGGCGAAGGCGGCUUGCCAGAAUGCGCUCGACGGUGAGGGAUGAAAGCUGGGGGAGCAAACAGG
rnacentral:rRNA from 1 species